UAAUUGUUGAAGAUAAAAUAUUGUAUGAGUAUAAGAAGUGUACCUUUCUGUCUUUAAUAUUGAAACUCAUACAGUUCCUGAACGUAUUUUAAAACAAGAAGCAAAUAAUUAAAAUGAAUAUUAAGAAAAUGUUAUGAAGAUUAAAAUUGCGACAAGCAAUAAAAUUUCAAUACAUUUUAUGAAGAAAAGUCAAGAAUGAAGAAUCGAAAAGAAUAAGAAUGCAGAAUCAAUCAGUCAUAAAUGGCGAGGGAUCAUUCAAUUAUAUGAAUGCAGACACGAAAGCCUGCCAAAAAGUUAGAAGGGCCACCAUAAACCAUAAUAAUUUAACGAAUAAAAAAUAUUUUUUAUACAUAGAUGUACAUAUAUAUUCAUUGUGUUAAUAAAAGAAAAUCUGUUAAAAACGCA